ACACGUAGGGGGCGAGCGUUGUUCGGAAUCAUUGGGCGUAAAGGGCGUGCAGGCGGUCCUGCAAGUCCGGCGUGAAAGACCCCGGCCCAACCGGGGGGACGCGCUGGAAACUGCAGGGCUUGAGUACAGGAGGGGAUGCCGGAAUUCCAGGUGUAGGGGUGAAAUCUGUAGAUAUCUGGAAGAACACCAAUGGCGAAGGCAGGCAUCUGGCCAUGUACUGACGCUGAGACGCGAAGGUGCGGGGAGCAAACAGGUUUAGAUACCCUGGUAGUCCGCACAGUAAACGAUGUGCACCAGGUGGCGGGGGGUCGACCCCCGGUACCGUAGCUAACGCAUUAAGUGCACCGCCUGGGGAGUAUGCUCGCAAGGGUGAAACUCAAAUGAAUCGACGGGG
rnacentral:rRNA from 1 species